rnacentral:misc_RNA from 1 species
GAUGAAGAACGUAGCGAAAUGCGAUAAGUAAUGCGAAUUGCAGAAUCCGUGAGUCAUCGAAUCUUUGAACGCACAUUGCGCCCGCCAGCAUUCUGGCGGGCAUGCCUGUUCGAGCAUCAUUUCAACCCUCGACCUCCCUUUGGGGAAGUCGGCGUUGGGGACCGGCAGCACACCGCCGGCCCUGAAAUGGAGUGGCGGCCCGUCCGCGGCGACCUCUGCGUAGUAAUCCAACUCGCACCGGAACCCCGACGCGGCCACGCCGUAAAACACCCAACUUCUGAACGUUGACCUCGAAUCAGGUAGGACUACCCGCUGAACUUAAGCAUAUCAAUAAGCGGAGGA